CCAUAGGUUAAUGAGGCGAACCGGGGGAACUGAAACAUCUAAGUACCCCGAGGAAAAGAAAUCAACCGAGAUUCCCCCAGUAGCGGCGAGCGAACGGGGAGGAGCCCAGAGCCUGAAUCAGCAUGUGUGUUAGUGGAAGCGUCUGGAAAGGCGCGCGAUACAGGGUGACAGCCCCGUACACAAAAGCGCAUGUGCUGUGAGCUCGAUGAGUAGGGCGGGACACGUGGUAUCCUGUCUGAAUAUGGGGGGACCAUCCUCCAAGGCUAAAUACUCCUGACUGACCGAUAGUGAACCAGUACCGUGAGGGAAAGGCGAAAAGAACCCCGGCGAGGGGAGUGAAAAAGAACCUGAAACCGUGUACGUACAAGCAGUGGGAGCACAGGUUUACCUGUGUGACUGCGUACCUUUUGUAUAAUGGGUCAGCGACUUAUAUUCUGUAGCAAGGUUAACCGAAUAGGGGAGCCGGAGGGAAACCGAGUCUUAAUUGGGCGUUAAGUUGCAGGGUAUAGACCCGAAACCCGGUGAUCUAGCCAUGGGCAGGUUGAAGGUUGGGUAACACUAACUGGAGGACCGAACCGACUAAUGUUGAAAAAUUAGCGGAUGACCUGUGGCUGGGGGUGAAAGGCCAAUCAAACCGGGAGAUAGCUGGUUCUCCCCGAAAGCU
rnacentral:rRNA from 1 species